AGAGCAUAGGGUGAAUGCCUUGGCACCAAGAGCCGAUGAAGGACGUGAUAAGCUGCGAAAAGCUGUGGGGAGAAGCAAAUAUUCAUUAUAUCCACAGAUAUCCGAAUGAGGAAACUCAACUAGUGGUAAAAGACUAGUUAUCCAUAUAUGAGUAAAGUAGUAUAUGUGAAGGGAACGCAGGGAACUGAAACAUCUAAGUACCUGCAGGAAAAGAAAGAAAACUCGAUUCCUUGAGUAGUGGCGAGCGAAAGAGGAAGAGCCUAAACCAGAAGAAGUAAUUCAUCUGGGGUAAAGGACUACAAAAUUGAUUCAUGAGAUUUAGCAGAAUUGUUUGGGAAAGCAGACCAAAGAUAGUGAAAGUCUAGUAAGCGAAAAAUCAAAUGACAUGGUAGUAUCCAGAGUAGUGCGAGACACGUGUAAUCUCGUAUGAAGAAGUGGGGACCACCCCAUAAGGCUAAAUACUACUUGGUGACCGAUAGUGAAGCAGUACCGUGAGGGAAAGGUGAAAAGAACCCCGGGAGGGGAGUGAAAUAGAACCUGAAACCGUGUGCCUACAACCGGUCAAAGCCCCUUAUGAGGGUGAUGACGUGCUUUUUGUAGAACGAGCCAACGAGUUACGGUAUGUAGCAAGGUUAAGUACUUAAGGUACGGAGCCGAAGGGAAACCGAGUCUUAAUAGGGCGACUAGUUGCAUGCCGUAGACCCGAAACCGGGUGACCUAUCCAUGGCCAGGUUGAAGCGAGGGUAAAACUUCGUGGAGGACCGAACCACGUUGCUGUUGAAAAAGCAUGGGAUGAGCUGUGGAUAGCGGAGAAAUUCCAAUCGAACUCGGAGAUAGCUGGUUCUCCCCGAAAUAGCUUUAGGGCUAGCGUCGGAUAUGUGUAGUGGAGGUAGAGCACUGAAUGGGCUAGGGGGCAUAUCGCUUACCGAACCUUAUCAAACUCCGAAUGCCAUAUACAUUAAGUCCGGCAGUCAGACUACGAAUGAUAAGAUCCGUGGUCAAAAGGGAAACAGCCCAGACCGUCAGCUAAGGUCCCAAAGUGUAAGUUAAGUGGAAAAGGAUGUGGGAUUUCUAAGACAACUAGGAUGUUGGCUUAGAAGCAGCCACUCAUUUAAAGAGUGCGUAAUAGCUCACUAGUCGAGAGAUCCUGCGCCGAAAAUGUACCGGGGCUAAACUUACCACCGAAGCUACGGAUUUGCAAGUAAUUGCAAGUGGUAGGGGAGCGUCGUAAUCGGGCUGAAGUCGUACCGGAAGGAGCGGUGGACUGAUUACGAGUGAGAAUGUUGGCAUUAGUAGCGAGAUGUAGGUGAGAAUCCUACAGGCCGAAUAUCUAAGGUUUCCUCAGGAAGGCUCGUCCGCUGAGGGUUAGUCGGGACCUAAGCCGAGGCCGAAAGGCGUAGGCGAUGGACAAUCGGUUGAUAUUCCGAUACCACUACCAUCGUUAUUAUCGAGGGUGUGACGGAGAAGGAUAGUGUGUGCUAGCGAUUGGAAAUGCUAGUCUAAGCGUUUAGGGAGUUACGGUAGGCAAAUCCGCUGUAACAAUUCUGAGGCGUGAUGGGGAAGGUCAUUAAGACCGAAGUACAUGAUUCCAUGCUUCCAAGAAAAGCAUCUAGAGAGAGAAGUAGUGCCCGUACCGCAAACCGACACAGGUAGAUGAGGAGAGAAUCCUAAGGCCGGCGGAAGAAUUGCAGUUAAGGAACUAGGCAAAUUGACCCCGUAAGUUCGCGAGAAGGGGUGCCUGCGAGAGCAGGCCGCAGAGAAUAGGCCCAAGCAACUGUUUAGCAAAAACACAGGUCUCUGCUAAAGCGUAAGCUGAUGUAUAGGGGCUGACGCCUGCCCGGUGCUGGAAGGUUAAGGGGAACACUUAGCGCAAGCGAAGGUGUGAACUUAAGCCCCAGUAAACGGCGGCCGUAACUAUAACGGUCCUAAGGUAGCGAAAUUCCUUGUCAGGUAAGUUCUGACCCGCACGAAUGGCGUAAUGACUUGGGCACUGUCUCAACUGCAAAUCCGGCGAAGUUGUAGUGCGAGUGAAGAUGCUCGCUACCCGCGAUUGGACGGAAAGACCCCGUAGAGCUUUACUGUAGCUUAGCAUUGAAUUCCGGUAUUGUCUGUACAGGAUAGGUGGGAGACUGGGAAACUAGGGCGUCAGCCUUAGUGGAGUCAACCUUGGGAUACCACCCUGACAGUACUGGGGUUCUAACAGGACGCCAUGAAGCUGGUGACUGGACAUUGUUAGGUGGGCAGUUUGACUGGGGCGGUCGCCUCCUAAAAAGUAACGGAGGCGCCCAAAGGUUCCCUCAGAACGGUCGGAAAUCGUUCGUAGAGUGCAAAGGCAGAAGGGAGCCUGACUGCGAGACCCACAAGUCGAGCAGGGACGAAAGUCGGGCUUAGUGAUCCGGUGGUACCUCGUGGGAGGGCCAUCGCUCAACGGAUAAAAGCUACCUCGGGGAUAACAGGCUGAUCUCCCCCAAGAGUCCACAUCGACGGGGAGGUUUGGCACCUCGAUGUCGGCUCGUCGCAUCCUGGGGCUGUAGUAGGUCCCAAGGGUUGGGCUGUUCGCCCAUUAAAGCGGCACGCGAGCUGGGUUCAGAACGUCGUGAGACAGUUCGGUCCCUAUCCGUCGCGGGCGUAGGAAAUUUGAGAGGAGCUGUCCUUAGUACGAGAGGACCGGGAUGGACUGACCUCUGGUGCACCAGUUGUUCUGCCAAGAGCAUGGCUGGGUAGCUAAGUCGGGAAGGGAUAAACGCUGAAAGCAUCUAAGCGUGAAGCCCCCCUCAAGAUGAGAUUUCCCAUAGCAUAAGCUAGUAAGACCCCUUGA
rnacentral:rRNA from 1 species